ACUCUUCUCAUCAAAAGGCAUGUGGCAGGAAGUGGGGAGAAUUCUCUGAGCCUUAGGACUAUUUAAAUAGGAGGGAGAGGGGCCGGGCGGAGUGGCUCACGCCUGUAAUCCCAGCACUUUGGGAGGCCGAGGCAGGUGGAUCACGAGGUCAGGAGAUGGAGACCAUCCUGGCUAACACGGAUUUCUGGACUGGGUGAAUCUUAUCUGCAUUUGGCAAUCAUGAUUCUGAGACUGAAAUUGUGUAACUCUGGAAUUUUAGAGGUGACUGCGUGACAAUUCUGAGAGGCCAAUGCCAAUGAGAGAAAAGUUUACUGCUACUCAUGAUGGCGCCCCUGGAAGCAGAAGACACAGCACGCUAUAGAGGGCCAUGUGGGAAAGCACUGGAGUAGCUCCAGGCCGGGCUUGCCAGUCUCUCUGCACUCUGGAAGGAGUUUGCCUGGGUUGGGGUUGUCCCUUGGUAGAUUCCAAACCUUCAUUUUGUCAAUUUACUUAAAGGUGACUGGGUUUAAAGGGGCUGACUGAUUGUAAAUAACUUGGAGAAUAAAUCAAUAUUCAUUAAUAAAGUUAAAUAAUUCACGUAAAAUUAAA
rnacentral:lncRNA from 1 species